rnacentral:lncRNA from 1 species
CGCCGCGCCGCCCGCCCCUCCACUGCGGGUGAGGGCGUGCGAGCGCGCAAAGCCGGCGCCGGUUCCAUACUUGCACACUCACGAUGUGGCUCUUCUAGGUGGGUGACCUCCACACACAGGCACGAGGGCUUGUAUUAGGCUGGGGCUCGCGUCACGGCCCCCUACGUCACCCGACUAACCGGUCGACAUAACGACAAACGGAACGACUGUACACAAGGGCCAACGCUGUACGAAGGGCAAGCCGCGGGGCUCCCAUACGUGGCAGGCCGCAGGAGGGCCGCACACACCUCCCGCCGUCAAGCAGCACGCGGCGGCUUACGCCCCAGCGAGCACAGGCGCCCCAUCACCGUGCGACUCGACAUACUCACGGCUCAGCAACACCCGCCCCCAACUGUGGGCACCGCAAUCACGCACCUCAGGCAGGCGGCGCCGUCCCUCACGGCCGCCACCCCAGGCCCCCCAAGAAACCCGCCUCCUCUGCGCCAGCGCCAGGCCAGUCAGUGCAGCAGCAGCCCGCGCGCACGCCGCCCGCCCAAGCGGGCCGGCGGCCGCUCGGCUGCAAGCAGCAGGGCGGACGGGAAGCCGCGCCACGACGCCACGCAAGCAGCGCUGCGGCGCGCUCCUCCCCCGCCACGCCUCUGUCCUCGCUUUCGCCCAAGCAGCCCGUUUAGCACUCCUCCUCGGAGUCGGUCACGACCUCGCCACGCUCCUUGCGCGCCUUGCGCAGCUUCUCCAGCGCCUUCUUCUCCUUGUUCGACAUCUUCUCCUUCUUGGGGCCCUUCACCUUGAUGGUGUUGCCGAAGGCGUCAAUCACCUCAUCCUGCUGCUUGAUCUCCACCUUCUCCUUAAUGGCGAUCAGGUUGUCACCCUCGCGCACCAUCUUGCCGCCGCCCACGAUCCACCGCUCAUUGCACAGCGCGGACACGAACUCGUUGUGGUGAGAGAUGACGACGAUGCCGCCGCCGAAGUCCUUGAUGGCGCCGGCCAGAGCGCCCAGCGAGUCGCGGUCCAGGUAGUUGGUGGGCUCGUCCAGCACGAUCAGGUGGGGGUUCUGCCAGGUGGCGGCAGCCAGCACGACCUUCACCUUCUGGCCGCCCGACAGGCCGCGGAUGUGGCUGUGCAGGGCGAACUCCGACUCCAGGCCCAGGUCCUCCAGGUGCUUCUGGAUCGAGGCGGUGGUGAGCGGGCGGGUGAACAGGCCCAGCGCGGCGGCCUCCUUGAUGUCCAGCUCGUUCACCAGCUUCUCGUAGCCCAGCUCCACCAGGGUGUCGCGGGGCAGCCAGCUGGUCUGGUCGGCGGCGGUGUUGGCCCACUGCACCUCGUACUCGUACGACUUCUUCAGCUUGCGGCGAGCCAGCAGCUUCUCCACCGAGCGCUUGACCUGUUGUGUGAAGAGGAGCGAGGAAAAUGGGAGCGCGGCGUGAAUCACGUGGAGGAGGACACAUGGCAGCCUGCGGGACCUAUUACUGAUGCUUGACCAAGCUCGCUCGCCAUCUGACCCGUCCCCACGUGUACUGAUGCAACUCCAAUUUGCCCUCCAUUACAGCUCCUCUCCCGACACGCCUGCUCCUGCUCCACGUGGGCCCAGCAAACCUGCCCUGCUCCUCCUCCCUGUCCUGCUCGCCCUUCCUCUCACCUUCGGGUCGUCGCCGAUCUGCACCUUGUUCUCCUGCAGCUUCUUCUGCUCCUCCUCGGUCAGGCGGGUCUCCUUCUCCUGGGCCUCGCGGUCCUCACCGGGGGCGAAGCGCCACUGGAUGUACUCGUUGGGAGUCUGCGCGGGAACAGAAAUACGAGGAUGGCGGGUCAGGCGGGGUCAAUCAACCAUCAAUACCGUCACUGCUUGUCAGGACGGCCGACGCAGCAUCGAGCUGUCGAGACACUCAUACCCACGCCUAAGCCCGGGCGAACCACCCCCUCCCACCCACCUUGUCCAGGUGCUUCUCCAGGUGGUGGAAGGCGUGCUGCGCCACGUAGGCGAUGCGCAGGUUGGGGUGCUUCCACACGGUGCCGGCCACGGGCUCCACCUCGCCGGUCAGCACCUUGAUCAGGGUCGACUUGCCGGCGCCGUUGGGGCCAAUGCAGGCCACGCGCGACGACAGGGUGCAGUAGGCGGUGGCGCCCUCGAAGAUCAUGCGGUCGGUGUUGGGGUACUUGUAGGACACGCGGUCGGCCUUCAGGAUGGCCUUGUCCUUGGUCUUGACACCCUCCAGGUAGCCGGGCUCGGGCAGCUUGAAGGUCAGGGUGGAGGCAGUCAGCUCGUAGUAGGCCUUGGCCUCGGGCUUCUGCUCCACGAACUUCGAGAGGUUGCCCUUGUACACGCGCAGCUUGCGGUUGUUGUAGUCGAUGAUGUGCGUGCACACGUGGUCCAGGAAGCCGGAGUCGUGCGACACAAUGAUGGAGGACACCUCGUCCAGGCCCACCAGGUAGUCCUCCAGCCACUUGACGUUGUGCACGUCCAGAUGGUUGGUGGGCUCGUCCAGGAGCAUGAUGUCGGGCUUCAUCAGCAUGGUGCGGGCCAGCGCCAGCUUCAUCUUCCAGCCGCCGGACAGCGAGCCCACGGCCUUGUUCAGCAGCUCCUCGGUGAAGCCGACGGACGAGAGCAUGCUGGUCACCUGCUCCUUGGUGGUGUUCACGGCGGCCUGCAGGUUCUCGUCGGCGAAGACGAACUCCACGCAGUUCAGGUCCGACAGCGAGCCGUCGAUGUCGUGCUCCACGUACACGGUGCGCAGCACGUCCUUGGGCGGGAAGCCGUCCACCUGGCCGUUGGCAAUGGCGCGCAUCAGCGUGGACUUGCCCACGCCGUUGGGGCCGCACAGGCCGUAGCGGCGGCCACGCUUCAGGCGCAGCGCGGCGUUGUUGAGCAGAAUCUUGGCACCGUACGCCAGCGAGAACUCGCAGUUGCACAGCUCCUCGCCCUCCUCGUCGUCGAAGUACUCGGUGGACUUGACCUGUGCGCGCGUGGGUCGGUGGCGUGAGGAGAGGCAGGUAAGUGCUGAAAACAUGGUCGGGUGCCCAGUUUUCCACGCGUUGUGAGGCUUCCAAACACCGUUCACGGCGUCAGGACGCCGAGUCACAUACACACACCCUCGCACGUGCACAUGAGCCCUGUCACCUUCCCGUCCGCUCACCUGCACCUCGGCGAAGCACUUGUCGGCCAGGGUCUGAGCGAUGGGGGCCAGGGUGUCCUUGGACACGAACACGCCCAGGUAGGUGCCGAUCACCUUGUCGCGCCACUCCUCAAUCUCGAAGUUCUUGUUGUUGGUCAGGUUGGCGCACAGGGCGGCGGCGUAGUCCAGCACGGGGUAGGCCUCGGGGACCAGGCCCUUCUUGCCCUCGGCGGUGGCCGCCAGCAGGUCGUGCAGGGUCUUCAGGGCGGCGCCCUUGUCCAGGGUCUUGGCCAGCUUGGCCUUGCCCUCGGUCUCGAUGUGCUGCAGCGUCUUGAUGGCGCUGUUCGACACCUUGCGCAGCUCGGGGUCAGCGGCCUCGUUGGCCACCUGUUGGUCGGGAGGGGCAGAGAGCGGGAAGGGGUGAGGGGAGCGGCACCAACAUGCGGUACACGGAGCACAAACCACCUUGCAGACAGCAGUGGCGCCAUGCAUUCUCCCACCUCGAGCCCCACCAGGCAGCCGCCCCGCAACUCCGACACCCGAUUACCGCCGUCCCUUUCACCAGCCACCCCACUUCGCACCCAGGCUCACCUUCUCGAUCUCAGGCAUCAGGCGGGGCAGGAACACCAGGGCCUCAGCCGGGUUGUCCACCAGCUUAGCCAUGUUGUCAGCCACCACGGCGGCCUUGCGCUUGAUGGCGGUCACGCGCUCGCGCAGACCGCGCAGCAGCAGGGGCACCAUCAUGGCCAGGGCGGGGGCCUCAACCUGUGUUGGAUUGAAUUGAGAUGAGCGGCGAGGCAACGCGGUCAGCCGGGGUACUUGCGGCUAGUUUUGUCAGUCCCCCGAACCUCACGCCCGAAGCUGCUAGCCAGGCAAACCGUUCGCGUUGGUGGGGCUCACUCGGAGUAGCCUACUUGCUGCUGGCACGGUGCCCCUCUCACUUCCUGGGAAAGCUUACGCCCAAAGCGCCCCGCUGCAUCUCUUUCAACAGGUCAAGUCACGCUCGCUAGCCAGGUACCAAGCACCCCGACUCACCGCCUGCACGAAGGUGGUGGAGGCCAGCUUGUGCACGGUCUCCUGCACCUCCUCGGGGUGGUUGAUGGAGCGGAUGAUCAGGGGCACCAUGGCGUUGAUGUCGCGGUUGCCCACCAGCGUGCAGGCCUCCUUCAUGGUCUCGGUGGCCACGUCCUGUGGAAGGCGACAUACAGAGGGACAGGCGGCAUGGUUGUCACAACGUGUCGAGCAGUGGCGGAGGUCACCGCAACGUGCAUGCUUCGGCCCCAACCAGCCCCCCCUCAAAAAACGCGAGCCCCGCGUGCGCGAAACCAUUUGCAUGACCCUGACACCGAUUCCCUUUUCGAACCGCGCCUUAGCAGCGCCCCAUCCCCAGCCCCCGUCCAAAUCCCAUUCCAUACAAACGCCUUCGCGGCUUACCUUGACGCUCUGCUUGGAGUCGUUCAUGCAGCCGGAGACGGCGGGCACGAUGUCGGGCAGGGCGCGGGUAAUCUGCUUGGGGUGCAUGCCCACCAGCUGCUUCACCAGCAGCAGCGAGGCCUCCUUGGUGGCGGGGUGCUUCUUGGCGUCCAUGCACUCGAACAGGUAGCCCAGGAUGGUGUACACGGCGUGGGGGUUGAUGAUGCUGAUCAGCGCCUUGGAGGCGGCCUCAGCGGCGGCCUUCACCUCGGGCUUCUGCUCAGGUUGGCGGUGUGGGGAGGGGAGGAAGCAGGGGUUUGCGGGAAAAAGAGCUGGGGAGUGGGUGGCCGGCUGGACUACUGAUGUGGGUGCACAGAGGCGCGUCACAACCUCCCCCACAGUUGAUGGCGGCCCAUCGCUGGUCCCUGUGGCUGGUUGAAACAGCCCUGUAUAACCCUGCGCACCUUGUCACCGCACUGCUCCAGCACGGCGGGCAGCAGGGGGGCCAGGAAGGGCUCAGCAGCGCUGCCGAUGUUGUCGCAGAUGGCCUGGUAAGCAGCAAGACCAGCCUGACGGGCAGCGGGGUUGGCCUUGUCCUCGAUGGCCGCCUUCAGGGCAGCGGUGGCACCGAAGCCCUGUGUACAGGAAGGGCAGGGACAGCGAGCUCAGCGAAGGUCCUGAAAAGUGCAUGCUCUUUUUGCCACGUCCAGCCCCGCGAAUAUGCAACAAACAAGUCCGACGUGAUCUGCGGUAUUGCUUCCCAUGCGAUACGGCUGGGCAAUUGAAGGUGGGCAUGCACGAUAAGCUGAGCGCGGCAGCAGCACAGUUUGGGUCGGCGCCAAGAAGGCGCACCUUGGCACCAGCCUUCUUCAGGUGGGCCGCGAGGGCAUCAGCCGCCGAGGCAUCGCCGCUGGCGACCUUAGCGAUGAUCUCAGCGGAAGCCUUCGACUCCGGCACUGCGUGCACGAGGGCAGAUUCGGCCGAAUUGUCAAAAGUGCCCGGACCCAAAGCCAACCACCAAAGACUACUUCUGCGCUAUGCACAAUCAAGGUUAAAGCGCCAGAGCGCCUAACAGCGCGUCCACAAGACCGUGCAACAGGCCGCUGAUUAUGUGUCCCCCGCCGGCGUCGGCCCCUGGAAUACUCACGCUCAGCAAUCUUCGAGCUGACCUCCUCAAUCCGAAUCACCAGGUUAACGUCGGCGUCGGCAGACAUCCUUCUCAAAACCUUUGGACCGAAGCGAGGGUCGGUAGAACCGCGCUACUCUGCAAGGGCGGGAGAGCGGCGGCGUUGGGGUUCAGCGCAAUCUGCACAACGUAUGCAGAGCUCGCGCUGGGAUGCCCUGACAGCGCGUCAAGAGCCAGCACCAAAAGCCCGGCGACCAACAACCAAGAGCCGCAUGCUGCUGCCAGAGGCUCUAGAAGCUCAGCCUAUAGCACUGAGAGUCGCUGAUUGUUGUGGAACUAGUCUUAGAAGGUCAUAGUCUGUCGCUAAGGUGCGUGUGGACCAGCAUCAGCCGCCGGAGGGGCGUCCCACCUGCUUUGCAGAAGUAGGCAACGGGUUGGCCAGCUAAGGGCCUUGAAAGUUGUUAAGAAAGUUCUGCCUGUCUGGUCUAGUGCCAGGCUCAGGUCUUUAAAGUGGAGAAGCUGGGCGAGCGUCCGGCCCUAAGUUCACGAGCCGAUUGCAUGGCAUGCGCCCCGAAUCCGGGAAAUUCCGCAUCAUGCACCUCGGCUCUGCCCAAUUCCUUGAGUUGCUUCGCGAUAUGAUGUAUACUCAAAUGCGCCGGGCCCGAGCACCCGCGCUUGCUUAGCGACCAAACGGCGUGCAGUCCCUCGCUCUCGCCUUGGAUGCUCCAAUGGAGCGCAACCUUAAAGCGGAAUUAGCUAUGUCAUUCAAUUUCUUCAGAGCAUGCUAUGAGCAAACUUGGGCCGUUGGUUCGCUCACCUGCCCGUUCCCGCCAUCGUAGCAUCCCUCACGGCGCUCGCGCUUGGUGCUGCCCACCAAUCAUUGAUGCGCUUUCACAAGUUGGCAUACACAGAGUUGCUUGCCAGCGGCGCGACCUGCUUAUUUGAGUAGAGGAGGUGGAAGAGAGCCCUGCACGCGUCCGUGGAGCUGCAUGGAGCAGGGGUGUGUGAUGGGACAGUGGCAAGGCAGGUUGGUAAAGUCCCUUAGGGCGCAGCUAAUUCCCAUACCCAACAAAUGGCAAACAAUUGGCAGAGGCAGGGCAAGAGUGCGCGGCUGGUCUAACGCCGGAGUUACUGUACCGACGAGUUGCAUGGAGCAGGGGAGGCGUCCGACGCCACAGGCGCCGAGGCCGCUUCGUUUUGUUGAUGUAGCGCCGGCGAUUGGCAGGGGAGCAAGGACUGCAAACGGAGCUGAGGAUCUGAUGUAAUGAAGGGGCGCCCAGCUUGGACAGCGGAAAACUCGGGGCCUGGGGGCAAGGCCCAUUGUGAGUGCUGCAAAGUCGGAGGCUUUAAGCGGCCAUGUCCUAGUCUUCGCCUGGGUUUGGGCGGCACACCCCGAGGGUGCACGCUCCUCUGCCGCUCCUCUGUGCACCGUACGGCAUGUUGCCGCUCUCACACCACGACCUUAACCACGGUGCAGACCUGACGCAUAGAGAGCAGGGGAGAUGAUAGAGAGAGCACAGGGGGGUUCACAGUGGCCGUGCGGUGUCGUUAGGUGCCGAACAAGGGGGGCGAAGUCAUGAUUGGGCAUGCCGGCCUACAGACAUGUAGCACUAAAAGCACACAGUGACAUGAGGAGAGCGGUGGCGGUGGAAGACGGCGAGGAAGGUGGUAGGCAUUUGGGGUGGGUUAGUAUCUGCGGGGCCGAAGGCAGGAGUAGGGAUGGAACGGGUGCAGGGGACAUGCCGCGUCGUGUGGCAAUAGCCUUUGCUCCGCGCUGCAUCCUUAGCCAUGCUCUUGCGCGGCGCAAGCCAUAAGGGCGCGGCCAGCCAAGGAGUGUGUUAGGAAAGCACAACAGAAUGAGGCAUUGGGAAGGGGCACACACCGUCCGUGAUAGAUGUGCAAACAAGCAGUGCGCCGAGAUCGGUAAGGCCCUGGUCAUAUGUGGGGAAACUGUUUGCACGAGAGUAUGUAGCAGAGCCAGUCAAGGGGCAUAAGCUGGGUACUGGGCGACUGGUGAAAUCGGUGGUGGGCCGACGGGGUGGCUGCAUGAUGGCGCAACGUGCUGCGGCUGCAGCUUUUGUCAAUGGGGUGCACUCGGCUGCCAUAGCCACAGCGCCGUUGGGCUUUGGGAAAGGGGAGUGUCAGGAGCAUCGUCCUGCGCUGUAUCCUGUGCAUUACUCCUAAAACAUACAUCAUCCCCAUCACGCAAUCCCACAUUCUCACCGAGGCGCUGCCACCUUCCUUGCACUUUGCCGUUGGUGUCCCACCAAACUCCUCCAUUUCUUUGGGUGGGGGAGUAGUCUCUUUCUUGAGAACUUACACCCGCCAGUUGAGAGGUGUCUCCUCCUUGCCUGGCGGAAAUUGAGCAGGCCCCAUGCGUGGCUGCCUGUCCCCUCGAGUGCACUGCCAUUAAAUCGCAACGCUCUCUCUUCGCUCUCCCCUCCGAAGGUCCAAAACCAUACAAGGUCCAAAACCAUACAUACAGACACGCGCUCUCAUCUGCUCAUCUUCAAGUGUCCCUCGAAACGCAAUGUGGAAGGGAGUGUAACUAGGCCAAUCAAGAACUCAAGUAGCAGGAGCCCUAAUGUUCAAGGGCCGCACCCGCAAACCUCACCACCAACAGAUUGCAACCUGAACACAUAGCCCCCUCUGCAUACCAGCAUCGCAGCUAGGCCACGUCUUUGGUCUCUUUGCAUCGUCACCGCUAUACUACAUACCGAAAGCAACCCGGCAUCAUCGGGAAGAAUCAAUGCAGGUUAAUGCGCAAGCUCAAGCUAUCCCUCACCCCACUUGCAUGCGUGCUAGCUACAAUAGGCUCAGGAGUAAGUGACUCCCUGUCCUGUCCCAUCCUACACAGUGCUUUCCAUCAAUGGUAACGACCUACCCUAUCCUGCGUCUAUCUAGUCAGUCAGUUUUUAAGAAUGCCAGGCUGGCCCGACAGGGACCAGCAUCAGCAGCCAACACCUGAACCUGCCUACCUAAGAAACAACACUACAAAGCGUGUAUACGACAAGCCUCUGUACGUGGAAAAUGUAAUUCGUACGCGGUCGUGGAUAAGCCGUCAAGCCUUGCUCAGCUUUACAGCACGCAAACGAAUACUAGCGGCUGCGAAGCUGUGCCAAUGGCAGCCGCUUACUGAGCGGUGGCGGGGCCGAUCACGCCGCCGUAGAUGUGCUCCACGUUCUCCUCGUACCACUUGAUGCCCUGGCGCGUGCCCUCCACCGCCAGGAAGAUGCCGGCGUUGACGGGGAUGGCGCGGUACAUGGCGGCGGAGAAGCCGCGCCACAGACCCGCCUGGCCCUCGCUGGCGAUCACCUGCUUGACGCAGUCAAUGGUAGUGCUGUACUGGGGCUUGACGAACGAGUCGGCCUGGCGAGGGAAUCGAGUGUUGGGCAAGGCGGGAAGCGGCGAUGCAACGUCAGCACACGUUAGCGGGAAGCGGGUGCAGGGUAAGGACCUGUCAGCUGUGCGCUGUGCUGCCUGGUUUGCCCGGCGCGCUCCGACCCCAUCCUGCUACGCCCAUUCUCUCUGCAAAGAAUAUAGGCUCUCACCUGCAUCUUGGACUUGAUGGUGUCGAUGGGGAACAUGGAGCCCCACAGGCCGAAGCCCGCCACCACGCCGGCGGCCAUGACCUGCAGGUAGUUGAGGUCGGCCUUGGUGUGCACACCGGGGCCGGCGUUCUGCAGGAAGUGGUUGACAGUGGCCUCGUAGCCCAGGAAGAACCAGGCGUAGCCCUGAGGAGCGGAGCGCGAGGGGCAGCGGAUGGCACGGUCAGCUUUGAACAGUUGCAGCUUGGGAAACGAAGUGGCAAACAGCGAAAGAUGGCCAAUCUGGGCGGCCUGGCAAGUAUACGCGCCCCAGGCAGCAGCGCAAGACGAGCCGACACACCUGCAUGUCACGCAGGAUGGUGGAGGAGAAUCCACGGUACAGGCCCUUGAUGCCGUGCUUGGACAUGACCUGCUUGAAGCAGUCCAGCGAGCCCUUGUAGAACUCCUCGGCGCCAGCCGAGGCGGCGGCGCCGGCGGCCACCGUGCCAGCCAGAGCGGCGCGGCGCUGCGGACAAUAGUGAUGGGCAAGGGUGGCAGGUUUGGUUUCAGCAAAGGCGCUUGCAUGGCGGGCUGAGCAGGAAAGCGCACUUAGCGCUCGAGUAGACCGCACAACAACAACAAAACUCGAAACCCAGUCAGGGAGCCCGCGAAGCCCAGCCACGCCCACGCACGCACCUGCAUCUGCAUCUUGGUGCGGACCAGCUCCACGGGGGCAGAGAUCAGAGAACCGGCGGCACCGGCAGCCGCGCCCGACAGCAGGACGUUGGCGUGAGAGAAGUUGGAGUAGUGGUCAUCUCCCUCCAGCAUCUUACGCACGGACGAGAAGACGGGGAAGUGGAUGCCCAGCAGGACCAUGUUGCCGACCAGAGGCGCGACGGUGCCCUUGUAGAAGGACAGCGGGCCCUCGCUCUUGAUCAUCUUACGGACGCAAUCCAUCGAGUCCUUGUACACCUCCGAGGGCGGCAGCUUGGCCGCCAGGGCAGUGCCCUGACCCAGCACUUGCAGCCGCACCUUGAUGGUGUCAAAGGGCUGGCCGAUCUGCGAGGGGGGGCAGGGAGGUAGGGAGAGACACCAGUGGGUAAGGGCAGGGGACGUGGCGGAAUGGGGUAGUGGGGAGCUAGAGGACAGGCAUGGGGGCAGGAAACGCUCCCACGGUUUGGCCUCGCGAGUUCGCAGCACGAGUCGGCGCCCUGCGUUCCCGACCUGCGCGUCCUUCGGUUGUAACCCCACACACAGCGGUAAUUACGAGACCGCGCAUGAUUGCUCACCAUGACACGUGCCACGCCACCCGAAAUGCCGGGCAGGAUAUCGAGAAUGCGCUUGUGGACGGCGGGAGUGUGCUCCACCUCCAUCAGCGCCUCGUUGAUAGUCAUAGCGUCGGAUGCCAUUUUGCGGACGGUUUAUAAAGACAAACAGAAACGUGAUGUGCCUGAAGCAGUGCGAAAGACAAAGAAAGAGCUGUCAGGAAGGUGCGAUUGGGAGGUCCUUGCAUGUGCGCAGUGCGCAGGCCAGAACUUCGCAACGCUCGACUGGACGCUGGUCGCUUUUGCAUGCGCUGGUUUCGUUACAUAUGCAGGUGGCCUCAUAAUGAGGCAGGACCAGUCGCAGAGGCCUGAACUGCCACAACUGCCCCCCCAAAACCUUGACUGCAUUUAAUCAGAUUGCUAAUAGUUGCUGGCUAACGCCCGGGAUU